rnacentral:rRNA from 1 species
UACGUAGGGGGCGAGCGUUGUUCGGAUUUACUGGGCGUAAAGAGCGCGUAGGCGGUACGAUAAGUCGGAGGUGAAAUCCCUCGGCUCAACCGAGGACCCGCGUCCGAUACUGUCGAACUUGAGUGCAGGAGAGGAGAGCGGAAUUCCCAGUGUAGCGGUGAAAUGCGUAGAUACUGGGAGGAACACCGGUGGCGAAGGCGGCUCUCUGGACUGUCACUGACGCUGAGGCGCGAAAGCUAGGGGAGCAAACGGG